CUCCGGAUAAGCUUAACUGGUAGAGCCCACUUGGCGCGUAACCGAAGAAGAUCUGGGUUCGAUUCCCCAGGUCACCCUGGAGC
rnacentral:tRNA from 1 species